rnacentral:rRNA from 1 species
AGAGUUUGAUCCUGGCUCAGGAUAAACGCUGACAGAAUGCUUAACACAUGCAAGUCGAUGACUAAGUAUAGCUUGCUAUACGAGGUCAUGGCGGACGGGUGAGUAACGUGUAAAGAACUUACCUUAUAGACUGGGAUAACAGAUAGAAAUGUCUGAUAAUACUAGAUACUAUUACACUGUGGCAUCACAGAGUAAUGAAAGAAUACGCUAUAAGAGAGCUUUGCAUCCUAUUAGCUAGUUGGUAAGGUAAAGGCUUACCAAGGCGAUGAUAGGUAGCCGGCCUGAGAGGGUGGACGGCCACAAGGGGACUGAGAUACGGCCCUUACUCCUACGGGAGGCAGCAGUGGGGAAUAUUGGACAAUGGGGGCAACCCUGAUCCAGCAAUUCUGUGUGCACGAAGACGGUUUUCGGAUUGUAAAGUGCUUUCAGCAGGGAAGAAAUAAGUGACGGUACCUGCAGAAGAAGCGACGGCUAAAUACGUGCCAGCAGCCGCGGUAAUACGUAUGUCGCAAGCGUUAUCCGGAAUUAUUGGGCAUAAAGGGCAUCUAGGCGGCCAGAUAAGUCUGGGGUGAAAACUUGCGGCUCAACCGCAAGCCUGCCCUGGAAACUAUGUGGCUAGAGUACUGGAGAGGUGGACGGAACUGCACGAGUAGAGGUGAAAUUCGUAGAUAUGUGCAGGAAUGCCGAUGAUGAAGAUAGUUCACUGGACGGUAACUGACGCUGAAGUGCGAAAGCUAGGGGAGCAAACAGGAUUAGAUACCCUGGUAGUCCUAGCUGUAAACGAUGAUUACUGGGUGUGGGCAUGAAGAGUGUCCGUGCCGAAGCUAAUGCGAUAAGUAAUCCGCCUGGGGAGUACGGCCGCAAGGCUGAAACUCAAAGGAAUUGACGGGGACCCGCACAAGCGGUGGAGCAUGU